UACAGAGGGUGCAACCGUUGUUCGGAUUUACUGGGCGUAAAGCGCGUGUAGGCGGCUUUGCAAGUCGGAUGUGAAAGCCCACGGCUCAACCGUGGAAGUGCAUCCGAAACUGCAUGGCUCGAGUCUCGGAGAGGAAGGUGGAAUGCUUGGUGUAGAGGUGAAAUUCGUAGAUAUCAAGCAGAACACCUGCGGCGAAGGCGGCCUUCUGGACGAUGACUGACGCUGAGACGCGAAAGCGUGGGGAGCAAACAGG
rnacentral:rRNA from 1 species